CUUGGUAAGCCCGGAAUCUGAUAGAGGAGCCCAGGUGGCUGGAGGCCCCGAGGAAAGCUGAUGCUGUGGCGGAGCCCGAGGACCAUCUGGAGGUGGAAUUCCUUCUUCCUCCUCAGGAGAGGUCCGUCUUUGUUCUCCUAAGAUCUUCAACUGAUUGGAUGAAGCCCACCACAUCAUGGAGGGUCUUCUGCGUUUCUCAAAGUUCACCAAUUUAAAGGAGCAGGCCGUGGGGCUCUCACAUUCAUCAGCUUCCUGGUUCCUGGAGGCUGGGUCUCACCCGACCUGGAGAGCUGCAAGAGCUCCAUGCUGUCACUGCAGGCCCAGGACUGAAAGAUCACAUUAAACUGUCCUUCCAC
rnacentral:lncRNA from 10 species